rnacentral:sRNA from 23 species
CGGACAGGGGGGUUCCCGUCGACCGGCGGGGCCUGUCCGGCGGCCACGCGAGGCGCGUGGUCCAGUGGUUGUCGCUCGGGGGUGAUCGUCG